AGGUCGCCGGGGUGGUCGGCUUCGCGGUCUCGGACGUCGCCGGCGGCUUGGUCGGCGUCGCCGUCGUGGUGCUGGUCUGCGGCGGCUUG
rnacentral:tRNA from 1 species